UACAGAGGGGGCAGCGUUGCUCGGAAUCACUGGGCGUAAAGGGUGCGUAGGCGGGUUUUAAGUCAGAGGUGAAAUCCUGGAGCUCAACUCCAGAACUGCCUUUGAUACUGAAAGUCUUGAGUAUGGGAGAGGUGAGUGGAACUGCGAGUGUAGAGGUGAAAUUCGUAGAUAUUCGCAAGAACACCAGUGGCGAAGGCGGCUCACUGGCCCAUAACUGACGCUGAGGCACGAAAGCGUGGGGAGCCAAACAGGAAGUUAGAAACCCUGGAUA
rnacentral:rRNA from 1 species